rnacentral:rRNA from 1 species
CCUACGGGUGGCAGCAGUGGGGAAUAUUGGGCAAUGGGCGCAAGCCUGACCCAGCAACGCCGCGUGAAGGAAGAAGGCUUUCGGGUUGUCAACUUCUUUUAAGAGGGAAGAGCAGAAGACGGUACCUCUUGAAUAAGCAACGGCUAACUACGUGCUAGCAGCCGCGGUAAUAGGUAGGUGGCAAGCAUGGUCCGGAUUUACUGGGUGUAGAGGGCGUGUAGCCGGGCUGACAAGGCAGAUGUGAAAUCACGGGGCGACAACACGGAACUUUGUUUGAAACUGUCGGUCGUGCGUAUCGGAGAGGCAGGCGGAAGUCGUGGUGUAGCGGUGAAAUGCGUAGAUAUUAGGAGGAACACCAGUGGCGAAGGCGGCCUGCUGGACGACAACUGACGGUGAGGCGCGAAAGCGUGGGGAGCAAACAGGAUUAGAUACCCGUGUAGUC